GGAGAAUCCCUAUAAGCGCAUAAU
rnacentral:siRNA from 1 species